GCUGGACACAGUGGUGCAUGCCUGUAAUCCCAGCUACUCCGGAGGCUGAGGCAGGAGGAUUGCAAGUUUGAGGUUGGUCUUGGCAACUUAUCAAGAACCUGUCUGUU
rnacentral:sRNA from 1 species